GAUGAACGCUAGCUACAGGCUUAACACAUGCAAGUCGAGGGACCGGCGCACGGGUGAGUAACACGUAUCCAACCUGCCCUUUACUCGGGGAUAGCCUUUCGAAGGAAAGAUUAAUACCCGAUAGAAAGGAUGGGUAUGCGUUCCACUAGGUUGUUGGUGUGGUAAGGGCCCACAAAGCCUUCGAUGGAUAGGGGUCCUGGGAGGAAGGUCCCCCACCUUGGAACUGAUACACGGUCCAACCUCCUACGUCAGGCAGGAGUGAGGAAUAUUGGUCAAUGGGCGUUAGCCUGCCCCAUCCAAGUAGCGUGAAGGAUGAAUGCUUAUGUGUCGUUAUCUUCUUUUAUAUAUAAAUAUGUAUUAUAUGAAUAAGGAUCGGCUAACUCCGUGCCAGCCGCCGCGGUAAUUC
rnacentral:rRNA from 1 species